rnacentral:lncRNA from 10 species
AUUACAGGCACACACUGCCACGCCUGGCUAAUUUUUUGUAUUUUAGUAGAGACAGGGUUUCACCGUCUUGAACUCUUGAGCUCAGACAAUCUGUCCGCCUGGGCCUCCCAAAGUGUUGGAAUUACAGGGGUGGACCACCGCGCCUGUAAUUUUGGGUUCACAGCAAAAUUGAGCAGAAGGUACAGAGAUUAUUUCCCAUAUGCCCUUUGUCCUUCUGCAUGUAUAGCCUCCCCUGUUAUCAACAUCCACCCCAUUAGAGUAGUGCUUUUGUUAUAAUCUACAUUGGCAUAUCAUAAUCACCCAAAGUCCAUAGUUUACAAUAGGGUGCACUCUUGGUGUUGUACAUUAUGUGGUUUUGGACAAAUUUAUAAUGACAUAUAUCCACCAUUAUAGUAUCAUACAAAAUACCACAAUGCUCUGAACAUCCUCUGGGUUCUGCCUAGUCAUCCCUCCCUCCCCUACCAACCCGUGGCAACCACUGAUCUUUUAUUGUCUCUGUAGUUUUGCCUUUUCCAGAAUGUCAUACAGUUGAAAUCAUACAAUACGUGGCCUUUUCAGAUUGGCUUCUUUCACAAGUACUCUGCAUUUAAGGUUCUUCCAUGUUAAGCAUAGCUUGAUCGCUCUUUUUUUUAGUGCUGAAUAAUAUUCCAUUUUCUAGGUUUACCACAGUUGAUUUAUCCAUUCACCUACUGAAGGAUAUCUUGGUUUCUUCCAAGUUUUGGCAAUUAUGAAAAAAGCUGGUAUAAACGUGUGUGUGCAGGUUUUUGUGUGGAUAUAAUUUUUCAACUAUGGGUAAAUACCAAGGUGCAUGAUUGCUGGAUUGUAUGGUAAAACUAUGUUUAGUUGUAGAAGAAACUGCCAAACUGUCUUCCAAUGUGAUUGUGUUGAUUUUGUAUUCCUACCAGCAAUGAAUGAGAGUUCUUGUGACUCCACGUUUUUGCCAUCAUUUGGUGUUGUUAGUGUUCUGCAUUUUGGUCAUUCUAAUAGGUGUGCGGUGGUAUCUCGUUGUUUUAAUUUGCAUUUUCCCAAUAAUAUAUGAUGUGGAGCACGUUUUCAUGUGAUUAUUUGCCACCCUUAUAUCUUUGUUGGUGAGGUGUCUGUUAAGGUCUUUGGCCCAUUUUAAAAUCUGAUCACUUUCUUAUUGUUGAGUGUUUUUGUUUGUUUGCUUGUUUUUGAGACAGAGUCUCACUCCGUCACCAGGCUGAUCUUGGCUCACUGCAACCGCCAUUUCCCGGGUUCAAGCGAUUCUCCUCCCUCAGCCUCCCAAGUAGCUGAAACUACAAGUGCUCGUCACCAUGCCCAGCUAAUUUUUGUAUUUUUAGUAGAGACGGGGUUUCACCAUGUUGGCCAGGAUGGUCUUGAUCUCUUGACCUCGUGAUCUGCCCACCUUGGCCUCCCAAAGGGCUGGGAGCCACCAUGCCCAGCCUAUUGUUGAGUUUUAAGAGUAUUUUGUGUAUUUUGUAUAAUAGUGCUUUAUCCAAUAUGUCUUUUGCAAAUAUCUUCUCCUAAUUUGUUGCUUGUCUUUUCAUUUUCUUGACAGUUUCUUUAUGGAGCAGAAAUUUUGAAAGUUCAAAGAUCAGUUGAUUAUAUUUAUGUGAGUCUAUUUCUGGGCUUUCUACUCUGUUCCAUUGAUCUAUUUGUCUGUUCUUUUGCCAAUACCACACUGUCUAUUACUGUAGCUUUGUAGUAAGUUUUGAAUAUGGGUAUUGCCAGUCCUCCAACUUUGUUCUUCUCUUCAAUGUUGUGUUGGCAAUUCUGGGUCUUUUGCCUCUCCAUGUAAACUUUAGGACAGUUUUGUCAAUAUCCACAAAAUAACUUCCUGGGGUUUUUAUUGGGAUUGCAUUGAAUCAAGCUGGGAAGAACUGACAUCUUGACAAUAUUGGACUUUCCUAUCCAUAAUCUCCAUAACUUCUUCCACAAUGGCUGUACUAAAUUACAUUCCUACCAACAAUGUAGAAGAGUUCCCUUUUCUCUGCAUCCUUGCCAUCAUUUGUUACCUUUCAUUUUUUUGAUGAAAGCCAUUCUAAAAGAUAAGAGAUGAUAUCUCAUUGUGAUUUUAAUUUGUGUUUCCCUAGUGAUUAGAGUGACUGAUAAUUUUUUUAUAUAUCUGUUGGCCAUUAGUAUGUCUUCUUUGGGAAAAUAUCUGUCCAAAUCAUGUGUCUAUUUUUAAAUUGGGUUUUCUUGCUAUUGAAUUGUUUGUGUUCCUUAUAUAUUUUGCAUAUUAACCCCUAUGAGAUGUAUGGUUUGCAGAUUUGUUUUCCUGACCUGGAAGUUGUCUCUUCAUUUUGUUAAUUGUUCCUUUGCUGGGCAUAAGGUUUUUAAUUUGAUGACAUUCUACUUGUCUAUUUUUACUUUUGUUGUCUGUGUUUUUGGGGUCUUAUUAAAAAAAUCAUUGUCUAUGCCAAUGUUGUGGAGCUUUUCCUCUAGUAGUUUUAUAGUUUCAGAUUUUAUGUUGAAGUUUUUAAUCCAUUUUGAGUUGAUUUUUGUAUAUUGGGUGAGAUAAAGAUCUAAUUUCAUUCUGCAUGUUGAUAACCAGUUUUCCCAAAACCAUUUAUUGAAGAUACUGUCUUUUUCCCAUUGUGUUCUCUCGGCACCUUUGUCCAAAAUCAAUUGAUUGUAAAUGUGUGAGUUUAUUUAUGAACUUUUAAUUCUGCUCCAUUGGCUGAUGUAUCUGUUUUUAUGCCAGUAUUAUGCUGUUUUGAUUAUAAUCACUUUAUAAUAUAUUUUGAAGUCAGGGAUGUAAUGCCUCCAGCUUUGUUCUUUUUGUUUAAGAUUUUUUGUAUGUGGCUAUUCAGUGUCUUUUGUGGUUCUAUAUGGAUUUAAGGAUUUCCCCCCCUAUUUCUAUGCAAAAUGACAUUGGAAUUUUAAUAGGAAUUGAAUUGAACCUGUAAAUGGGUUUAGGUAGCAUAGACACUUUAACAAUUUUAGUUCUUUCAACCCAUGAACACAGGGUAUAUUUCCAUUUAUUUGUGUUUUCUUCAAUUUCUUUCACUAGUGUUUUAUAGUUUUCAGCAUACAGGUCUUUCACCAUCUAGGUUAAAUUUAGACAAUAUUUUUGGUGCUAUUGUAAAUGGGCUUAUUUUCUUCAUUUCAAGUUAAUUACCUAUUAGGAUAUAGAGUCACUACUGAAUUUUUUUUGAUGAUUUUCUAUCCAGCAAUUUUACUGAAGUCAUUUAUCAGUUCUAACAGUUUUUUUUUUUUGUGUGAGGUAGUUUGGAUUUUCUGUAUAUAAAAUCGUGUCAUCAGCAAAUAGAGACAAUCUCACCUCUUCUUUUUUCUAUAAAGAUGCCUUUUAUUUCUUCUUGUUCUUCUAGGAUAAGUCUACUUUUCUUCCACGUAACAACCACAGGAUAGAUGACAUUCAUUUUCUAAGAAACAAAAUCUUGGCAGUUAGAUCCGUGGGGUAAAGAAUAUAGAUACUAAUGUAAGUUAACACCUCAAGUUCAUGUCCUUGGUUUGGAUGCUUUGUUCAGGAGUGUUUAGUGGUAUUUCAAAGGAAUCAAUAUCUAUAACAAAUUAAAAUAACCAGGAAUGGACCAGUGAUGGAAAUGUGUUCCGAAAAUAUGUUUAAUAUAAUUUGGCACAACUGAAGUGAUAAAAAUAUAGUAGUUAGACCAUUUAUAUUCACAAUUAUUUAACAUUGUAUCUUAUUUUCUACCUCAAAUGAUUUAAUCUUUUCCAUAUUGGUAUGGUCCUGGCCGAUAACUCUUUGUGUGGCAGCCUGAGAGAAUAUGGAAGACACUGUCAGUGUUGGAAGAUGGUGGUUUUAUCACUUUUCAUUGCACUGUCUUUAAAACAUGGGCAAAUUGACUAAAAGAAGACUACAGAAGAAAUAAUGGUGAUUGUGAAUUUGAAUGAAAACCAUGUAGCUGGUCUUAUUAUUCUCUAAUCAUGAAGACCAUUAUUGUUAUUUGUGGACUAAGGAGCAGAAAGACUGAUAGUGGACAUAGGCCAGCUGAUUUAAUAAUUUAAGAAAGAACUGUUAUCCUGAGUAAGGAGCAUAGAGACAAAUAUAAAAUGAACGCACUCUACCUGAUUUAAUUAUAGUCUUCUGGUGAAGAUCUUGCUGUUAUCUCUGUGAAUCAGGAGAGAAGAGAUUGAUAAGGAAUAGACGAGAUUGGAUUUGGUCAUUUCCCCAAGGUGAAGAGCAUGGCGAUUUCUUCUGUGGUAAGGAGCAAUAAUGAAGACCAUGGUUGAUUUAAUCAGUCUCUGCUGAUGAAGAUCUUGGCUGUUACCUUUGUGUGUAAGGAAGCUAAAGACUUAAGUAAAUAACAGUCCAAAAACUUGUCAAUUAGGAAUGAAUGCGCAAUGAUUCAAUUAUUCUCCAGCGAGGAAGAUCAUGGUUGUUGUCUGUUUGAGUAAUGAGUGUAGAAACCUAUAAUGGAGGCGUGAUGGCUGAUGCAAUCAUUUUCCACUGAUGAAGGUUUUGAUGGCCACCUGUAAUGAACAGCCCCAUCUGAUUUAAUCACUGUGCAAUGACCGUGAACUGUACAGUUACCUCCGUGUGUCACAGGAAGACUCUUUUGACUUAAGCACCCUUCCAUGGUCAUGAGGUUUCUGGUUGCCUCUGUGUGUUAGAAGCUUGGAGACCAAUGCCUUCUGCUGUGAUCGCGUUCUCCACAGUUGCCUCUGGGUAGGAGCCUGGACACUAAUAGAAAAUGGAUGCACUUGAGCCGACCUAAGCAUUCAUGGUCAUGAGAUUUGUGGUUGCCACUGUUGGUUAGGAGCAUAGAGAUCAGUAAUGGACACACCUGGGCUGGCAGAACAUCUUGCCUUGAUCUGGAGCCCCAUGUCUGCCCCUCUGUAGAGGUGCACAUGGGCCAAUGAUGGAUGCAAUGAGCUGAUCAUUUUGCUGUGAUCAAGGCUAUGUUGCCUCUGUGUUAGGCCAAUGGUUGAUGUUCAUGGGUGAUUGAUCAUCCUGUAGCGACGGUGGUAUUGACUGUUCCCCAGAGGACAAGGAGUGUGUUCUUAUAAUGGACAUCAUGAUUGGGAUUGUCUUUAUUAAACUUUGUCAGGAGAGUAAAGAUCAAUGUGGCCACAUGUUGUGGCUCAUGCCUGUAAUCCCAACACUGUAAUCCCAGCACUGUAAUCCCAGCCUGUAAUCCCAGGCUGAGGUGGGCGGAUCACCUGAGGUUGGGAGUUCGAGACCAGCCUGACCAACAUGGAGAAACCCCGUCUCUACUAAAAAUACAAAAUUAGCCGGGCAUGGUGGCGCAUGUCUUUAAUUCCAGCUACUCAGGAGGCUGAGGCAGGAGAAACGCUUGAACCCGAGAGGCGGAGGUUGCAGUGAGCUGAGAUUGCGCCAUUGCACUCCAGCCUGGGCAACAAGAGUGAAACUCCAUCUCAAAAGAAAAAAAAAAGAAAACAAAACAAAAAAAGAAAAAACCAAUGUUCCAAUAGUUUCCCAAAUCAUGCUGAUGCUGCCUCCUGAGAAAUAUUUUCAGAAUCACUGAGAAAAAUGUAUGAAAUAGUUAAUGUCCUUGCUCUGUGUCAGUGGUGGAGGCUGUCUGCAGUAGGAGCAUGGAGACCAACAAUGGAUGCUCUUAAACUGAUUUAAGCACGCUUCCAUGGUCAGAAGCCUUAUGGUUGCCACAGGGUAUUAGGAGCAUGGAGACCAAUAAUGGAUGUCCUUGUUCUGAUUUGAGGAUGCCUCCAAGGUCACAUACUCUGUUUGCACCACGCUUAGGAAGGAGCGUGAAGACCAAGGGGAAUGAUAAACACAGAUCAUGGAGGACUGUUUUAUCUGUUUGUGAUCUGCCGUCCUCUGUGAGCCUCAGGAUGGAUGUUUGCCAGCCGAUUCCAUGGUUACAAGCUCUAUAGCUGCAUCUAUGUGUUAGGAGCAUGAAGACCAAUAAUGGAUGCACUGAGCUGAUUAUGAAUUUAGCCCUGAUGAAGACUUGUGUUGCUGUCAUGAUAUGAAAGAUUCCAGUAAUGAACGCACUUGAGUUGAUUCAAGCACGCUUCCAUGGUCAUGAGCUCUGUGGUUGCAUCUGUGUGUUAGGAGCAUGCAGACCAAUAGUGAUAAUCUCGAGGUGAUUUAUGCAUUCUUCCAUGGCCACCAGCCUUAUGAUUGCAUCUGUGCGUCACAGCUUAGAGAUCAAUAAUGGAUGCAACAAGCUCUUUGAAUCAUUCUGUUGGGAUCAAGAUUGUUGUGUUCCCUCUGUUUGGAAAGAGACCAAGAAUGGAUACGCUCAGGUGAUUUAAGCAGUCUUCCAUGGCCACGAGCUCUGUGGUUGCCUCUGUAUAUUAAGAGCACAGAGAUUAAAAAUGGGUGCACUUGAGCCGAUUGAAACAUUCCUCCUUGCAUCUUUCUUCUGUGAUUGCAUCUAUUUGUUAGUAGCAUAGAGACCAAUAAUAGAUGGCUUGUGCUGAUGGAAGGAUUCCUCCCUGGUGACAUGCUGUGUCUGCCUCUUGAUUGGGAGCACGCAGACCUACAAUGAUGCACUUUUUAUGAUUUGAGAAUUCCUUCAUGGUCACGUGCUCUGUUUUUAUCAUGGUUGGGAGCCUGCAGAGCAAUAAGGGACAUGCCUUUGCUGAUUUGAGGAUUCCUCUGAGGUUGGGAGCUAAGUUUGCAUCAUGCUUAGAAAGGAGUGUGCAGACCUGUAAUGAUUGCACUUUGCUGAUUGAAGGAUUCCUUCAAGUCCAUGUGCUCCACUUGCACCAUUUUUAGGAUGGAGCCUGGAGACCUAUAAUGAACAACUUGUGCUGUGUUAAGGAUUCCUCCAUGAUCACGCGCCCCAUUUGUACACCAUGCUUGGGAAGGUGCAUGCAGACCAAUAAUGGACGUACUUGUGAUGAUUUAAAGAUGCCUCCAAGGUCACGUGCUCUGUUUGCACCAUGCUUAGGAAGGAGCGUACAGACCAAAAAUGGAUGAAUUGUGCACCUUGAAAAGUUCUUCCAUGGUCACCUGAGGCAUCUGCGUCAUGAUUAGGCUCCGGAUGACUAAUAAUGGACGUACUUGUUCUGAUUUGAGGACUUCUUCAUGGUCACAUGUUCUGUUUGCA